rnacentral:lncRNA from 1 species
CUUUCAUCAGUGCACUGCAGGACCAGACUAUUUGGAGAAGAGAGAAGCAAGAGAUAGUUGGAAUUGAAUAUUUCCUAGGCCUUUCCACACUACAUGAAUAACUCAAGGCCUUCAAGCCGAUACCGGAGAAGGCAGAGCCGAUCGUGAAGACACUUUGCCUCAUGCAAUGCCUCAUAGCUGUAAAGAGGAGUAUGGAAAUGCAGAUCUUAAUGCGAUGAUCAAUCACUGGAAAUCUUCAAAUUGUAAUCAACCUAAGAGGCAGGCUUCCAGAACUCCUCCAACUUCAGGACUGUGUGACAGAUCUGCAGGAAUUAAAAAAAAGUUCAAUGGUAACAUUUACUUUGCUUUCAUGGAACUAGUGAAAAAGAAAUAAAGGCUAUGAUGUGCUGGGAUGACAUAUAAUUCUAACAUAUUUAGAUACCACUGCCAGUCUUUUAGGCACAAACAGGGAUUUAAAAAAUUAAUUCUUUUAAAAAUAUAAUUUCUGCAAUUUGAAUGGAAGUGUGGGAAUUUGGAAACCAUCUGGCAUCAUCUUGUGAUUUAGCUCCAAACACUGCUGACUUUUCCAGUGUGUGCAUCAAUUUUAUUUUCAUCCUAAACUUUGACUUGCAUUAUUUUGGCAAAAGAAGCCACAUCGUAUUCACCACACCAGGCGAGUCAGACAAGAUUCAAGUGCUGAAACUUCCUUGGCGGCAUGUUGUGAAGCGUUCUUUGACUUAGCAGCUUGAGAGUCUGGCAGCUAGAGAGCAAGAAGAUUGUGGUCCCUACUCUGGUUGAGCCCUCUGCACUUCCCCUACAUACACACUGAGGCUGGCACAGUUGCCCUGGAAGGAUGAAGUCACUGGCAGUCUGCUGCAUGGGUACACAUCUGCACCCAGCUGAGGACUGUUCCACCCCCAAGCUGCCUUUGUUUUCUUUUCUUUUCUUUUUUUGAGGAAGAUUAGCCCGGAGCUAACAUCUGCCACCAAUCCUCCUCUUUUUGCUGAGGAAGACUGGCCCUGAGCUAACAUCUGUGCCCAUCUUCCUCUAUUUUACAUGUGGGACACCUACGACAGCAUGGCUUGACAAGCAUUGCAUAGGUCUGCACCCAGGAUCUGAACUGGCGAACCCCGGGCAGCCAAAGUGGAAUGUGCAAACUUAACUGCUGCACCACCAGGAC